rnacentral:rRNA from 1 species
CCGUCAAUUCCUUUAAGUUUCAACCUUGCGGUCGUACUCCCCAGGCGGAGUGCUUAAUGCGUUAGCUGCGGCACUGAAGGGCGGAAACCCUCCAACACCUAGCACUCAUCGUUUACGGCAUGGACUACCAGGGUAUCUAAUCCUGUUCGCUACCCAUGCUUUCGAGCCUCAGCGUCAGUUGCAGACUAGACAGCCGCCUUCGCCACUGGUGUUCUUCCAUAUAUCUACGCAUUCCACCGCUACACAUGGAGUUCCACUGUCCUCUUCUGCACUCAAGUUCCCCAGUUUCCGAUGCACUUCUUCGGUUAAGCCGAAGGCUUUCACAUCAGACUUAAGAAACCGCCUGCGCUCGCUUUACGCCCAAUAAAUCCGGACAACGCUUGUCACCUACGUAUUACCGCGGCUGCUGGCACGUAGUUAGCCGUGGCUUUCCGGUUGAAUACCGUCACGAUGUCAACAGUUACUCUGACACCCGUUCUUCUUCAACAACAGAGUUUUACGAGCCGAAACCCUUCUUCACUCACGCGGCAUUGCUCCAUCAGACUUGCGUCCAUUGUGGAAGAUUCCCUACUGCUGCCUCCCGUAGGAGUCUGGGCCGUGUCUCAGUCCCAAUGUGGCCGAUUACCCUCUCAGGUCGGCUACGCAUCAUCGCCUUGGUGAGCCGUUACCCCACCAACAAGCUAAUGCGCCGCGGAACCAUCCAGAAGUGAUAGCCGAAGCCACCUUUCAAACAAAAACCAUGCGGUUUUUGUUGUUAUACGGUAUUAGCACCUGUUUCCAAGUGUUAUCCCCUGCUUCUGGGCAGGUUUUCCACGUGUUACUCACCAGUUCGCCACUCGUUCCAAUGCUGAAAUCAGUGCANGCACGUCAAUCAACGGGAACUCGUUCGACUUGCAUGUAUUAGGCAUGCCGCCAGCGUUCGUCCUGAGCCAGGAUCAANCUUUA